UUAUCAAACCUGGAGAAUGCAAGAUUGGAAUUAUGCCUGGAUACAUUCACAAACCGGGGCGUGUAGGAAUUGUCUCUCGAUCUGGCACAUUGACUUAUGAGGCGGUCUUUCAAACAACUGCCGUUGGUCUGGGGCAAUCUACCUGUGUAGGUAUUGGUGGUGAUCCUUUCAAUGGUACAAAUUUUGUUGACUGCCUGAAGAAGUUUCUUGUAGAUCCUC
rnacentral:misc_RNA from 1 species